rnacentral:rRNA from 1 species
UACGUAGGGUGCAAGCGUUGUCCGGAAUUAUUGGGCGUAAAGAGCUCGUAGGCGGUUUGUCGCGUCGAAUGUGAAAACCCGGGGCUCAACUCCGGGCCUGCAUUCGAUACGGGCAGACUAGAGUUCGGUAGGGGAGUCUGGAAUUCCUGGUGUAGCGGUGAAAUGCGCAGAUAUCAGGAGGAACACCGGUGGCGAAGGCGGGUCUCUGGACAGUUCCUGACACUGAGGCACGAAGGCCAGGGGAGCAAACGGG